UGGGGAAUCUUCCGCAAUGGGCGAAAGCCUGACGGAGCAAUGCCGCGUGAGUGAAGAAGGCCUUCGGGUUGUAAAACUCUGUCCUUAUCGAAGAGAGGUAGGUAUGUGAAUAAUGUACCUAUAGGACGGUAGAUAAGGAGGAAGCCCCGGCUAACUACGUGCCAGCAGCCGCGGUAAUACGUAGGGGGCGAGCGUUGUCCGGAAUCACUGGGCGUAAAGGGCGCGUAGGCGGUUUAAUAAGUCAGUGGUGAAAACUGAGGGCUCAACCCUCAGCCUGCCACUGAUACUGUUAGACUUGAGUAUGGAAGAGGAGAAUGGAAUUCCUAGUGUAGCGGUGAAAUGCGUAGAUAUUAGGAGGAACACCAGUGGCGAAGGCGAUUCUCUGGGCCAAGACUGACGCUGAGGCGCGAAAGCGUGGGGAGCAAACAGG
rnacentral:rRNA from 1 species